GUGGAGCCCGUCCGUUGCAGAAGCUCAUCUGGGAUCCAUCUGUUGUAGGAAUUCGGACGGAGUCCGGCUCUUGUAGGAGCUCGGAUGAAAUUCAGAAUACGGUCGACCACCAUAAAAAUUUGGAUGGAGUCUGGUUACUGUAGAAGUUCUGCUGCUGGAGAAGCUCGGCCAUUGACGAAGUUCGGAGUAAAAUCGAUCGUGGCUGGAAGAAGUCUGGAAGAGAUUCGGAGAGUAGUCGAUCACUGUAGAAAGUCGGCUGAUAAUGAAGCGCAGAGAGCAUUUGGGGCAGUUCGGUAGACGACUGAAGGAGCUUGCUAUUGGAGAAGUUCGGAUGGUAUUAUGGAAGCUCGGACAGCCAAGAGGAUUCAGAAAGACGCCGCACAAGGUCGAAAGCUGGAAG
rnacentral:lncRNA from 1 species